rnacentral:rRNA from 1 species
CACGUAGGGCGCAAGGCGUUGUCCGGAAUUAUUGGGCGUAAAGAGCUCGUAGGCGGUCUGUUGCGUCCGCUGUGAAAACUCGGGGCUUAACCCCGAGCCUGCAGUGGAUACGGGCAGACUAGAGGUAGGUAGGGGAGAAUGGAAUUCCCGGUGUAGCGGUGAAAUGCGCAGAUAUCGGGAGGAACACCGGUGGCGAAGGCGGUUCUCUGGGACGGUACUGACGCUGAGACGCGAAAGCGUGGGGAGCGAACAGG